rnacentral:rRNA from 1 species
AUUGAACGCUGGCGGCAUGCUUUACACAUGCAAGUCGAACGGUAACAGGCCUUCGGGUGCUGACGAGUGGCGAACGGGUGAGUAAUGCAUCGGAACGUACCCAGAGGUGGGGGAUAACGCAGCGACAGCUGUGCUAAUACCGCAUGUGAUCUGAGGAUGAAAGCGGGGGACCGAGCAGCAAUGUUUGGCCUCGCGCCUUUGGAGCGGCCGAUGUCGGAUUAGCUAGUUGGUGGGGUAAAGGCCUACCAAGGCGACGAUCCGUAGCUGGUCUGAGAGGACGACCAGCCACACUGGGACUGAGACACGGCCCAGACUCCUACGGGAGGCAGCAGUGGGGAAUUUUGGACAAUGGGCGCAAGCCUGAUCCAGCAAUGCCGCGUGCGGGAAGAAGGCCUUCGGGUUGUAAGCCGCUUUUGGCAGGAACGAAACGGUGUCCGCUAAUACCGGGCGCUAAUGACGGUACCUGCAGAAUAAGCACCGGCUAACUACGUG